CUACGGGUGGCUGCAGUGAGGAAUAUUGCACAAUGGGGGGAACCCUGAUGCAGCAACGCCGCGUGGAGGAUGACGCAUUUCGGUGUGUAAACUCCUUUUAUAUGUCAAGAAAAUGACGGUAGCAUAUGAAUAAGCACCGGCUAACUCCGUGCCAGCAGCCGCGGUAAUAGGGAGGGUGCAAGCGUUACUCGGAAUCACUGGGCGUAAAGGACGCGUAGGCGGGUUGGAAAGUCAGGUGUGAAAUCCUACAGCUUAACUGUAGAACUGCACUUGAAACUUCUAAUCUAGAGUAUGGGAGGGGGAGAUGGAAUUAGUGGUGUAGGGGUAAAAUCCGUAGAUAUCACUAGGAAUACCUAAAGCGAAGGCGAUCUCCUGGAACAUUACUGACGCUAAGGCGUGAAAGCGUGGGGAGCAAACAGGAUUAGAUACCCCCGUGUC
rnacentral:rRNA from 1 species